rnacentral:rRNA from 1 species
AGACUUUGAUUAUGGCUCAGAUUGAACGCUGGCGGCAGGCCUAACACAUGCAAGUCGAGCGGCAGCGGGUCCUUCGGGAUGCCGGCGAGCGGCGGACGGGUGAGUAAUGCCUAGGAAUCUGCCUGGUAGUGGGGGAUAACUCGGGGAAACUCGAGCUAAUACCGCAUACGUCCUACGGGAGAAAGCGGGGGAUCUUCGGACCUCGCGCUACCAGAUGAGCCUAGGUCGGAUUAGCUAGUUGGUGAGGUAAAGGCUCACCAAGGCGACGAUCCGUAGCUGGUCUGAGAGGAUGAUCAGCCACACUGGAACUGAGACACGGUCCAGACUCCUACGGGAGGCAGCAGUGGGGAAUAUUGGACAAUGGGCGAAAGCCUGAUCCAGCCAUGCCGCGUGUGUGAAGAAGG